rnacentral:rRNA from 1 species
AGUGAACGCUGGCGGUAGGCCUAACACAUGCAAGUCGAACGGCAGCACAGUAAGAGCUUGCUCUUACGGGUGGCGAGUGGCGGACGGGUGAGGAAUACAUCGGAAUCUACUUUUUCGUGGGGGAUAACGUAAGGAAACUUACGCUAAUACCGCAUACGACCUACGGGUGAAAGCAGGGGAUCUUCGGACCUUGCGCGAUUGAAUGAGCCGAUGUCGGAUUAGCUAGUUGGCGGGGUAAAGGCCCACCAAGGCGACGAUCCGUAGCUGGUCUGAGAGGAUGAUCAGCCAGACUGGAACUGAGACACGGUCCAGACUCCUACGGGAGGCAGCAGUGGGGAAUAUUGGACAAUGGGCGCAAGGCUGAUCCAGCCAUACCGCGUGGGUGAAGAAGGCCUUCGGGUUGUAAAGCCCUUUUGUUGGGAAAGAAAAGCAGCAGGUUAAUACCCCGCUGUUCUGACGGUACCCAAAGAAUAAGCACCGGCUAACUUCGUG